rnacentral:rRNA from 1 species
GACGUAGGGCGCGAGCGUUGUCCGGAUUUAUUGGGCGUAAAGAGCUCGUAGGCGGCUUGUCGCGUCGACUGUGAAACCCGCGGCUCAACCGCGGGCCUGCAGCCGAUACGGGCAGGCUAGAGUUCGGUAGGGGAGACUGGAAUUCCUGGUGUAGCGGUGAAAUGCGCAGAUAUCAGGAGGAACACCGGUGGCGAAGGCGGGCUCUGGGCCCGAG